CUCAUACUCCCUUUGUCUGGAAAUACUUUUCAUUAAAAUGAAUAAAAGAGGAUGUAUCUAAAUGUAUUUUAGUUCUAAAUACAUCGUUUUUUGUUCAUUUUGAUAACAAGUAUUUUCGGACGGAGGGAGUAGUAC
rnacentral:pre_miRNA from 1 species